UUUUUUUUUUUUUUUUUUUUUUUUUGUAUAUAGAGUUCUCUACCAGGGAUCAGAUCUAAGCUGCACUUUCAACCUACACUGCAGCUUUAGCAACACCGGAUUCUUAACCCACUGUGCAGGGCAGGGGAUGGAACCUGCAUCCCAGUGCUUCAGAAACACCGCUGAUCCCACUGCGCCAAAGCAGGAAACUCCCCUUCACUGUGUUUUAAAGUCCACAAGGAGAGAAAUCAAUUUAUAUCUCCCACAAGCCUUUGCAUAUAGUAAAUGCAUAAUAAAUUUCUAAAGGCUUAUGAGAGGAAUUAGAUUCACUAAGUUAUUAACAUCUUAAUUUAAAGUCUCAUUAGGUUGUCUUGGGUAAAAUGUACCUGGAUUUACAAAACUUAAACCCAAUAGAAGAAAACCCAGUAAGGAACAGUUCCAGAAUGAGAACUCUUAGAAGCCCAAACAAAAGAUGUUAUCACAUUUCUUGUAUAAUAAGCAGCACAUUUCUUGAACACCUAAAACUGUGAAGUGCCAUGCCAGGUCUGAAGGCUAGGUAUUAAGAGUCAAAAAUAGCCGAGUUUAUUGAUGAUGAGUUAGUCAUCAUUUUAAGCACUUUGUGCAUUUUAUCUCACUUAAUCUUUAAAACCACCCUGUUAUCUAAUUACUAGUAUCUAUCUCAAUUGUUCAGAUGAGGGUAUAAAUACGCAAAAGUGACUGUGGCAUAUUUUGUCUGGAGUGGUCCAGAGUCAUACCUGAAGUUUAAGAAUUCACUAAAAUUACUGAGUACCAAUUAUGUGCUAUGACCCAGCACUAGGGGCAAAGCUACAUUCAAUUCAAAUAAGGUCCUUGUUUUCACGGGGUUAUAUCCUAGAGGGGGUGACAGACAGUUAACAAGUAAACCAAUAACUAAACACAAUGACUGAACUGAAGUCUUAUAAAGGAAAUAGGGUAUGAAACAAUGACAGGUGCACUGUGGGCAGAAGGCUGGAGGGUCUUUCUGAGCACUGAACUGAGUCCUUAGGGAUGAGAAAGCCAGCCAUGUGCAGAACCAAAAGAGCUCCAGAGUCUUGAGGUGGAACUGUUUGGUAUGUUUGAGGAAGAAGGAGGCUGGUGGCUGUAGCAGGUUGGGGGAGGGUGUAUAUGUUGAGGUUGGUGUAGUUGGCCAGGCCUGGCCACCCACCCUGCAGUCCUUGGCAAGGAGCUUGGCUUUUAUGCUAAACCACUGAAGUGUAUGAACAAGGGGAGGGAGGUGAUCUGGACAUUUCAGAAGAUCACUCUGGCUGAUGAGUGCAGAAUGAACUACAGGAUAUACGGACAGAGGCAGGAGUUUAGCCAGCAGUCUACUGCAAUAGCCUCGGGGAAAGGAGCAGGUGGAGUGGACGGGGAAAAGGAUGAGCCCAAAUGAGUUUUCAAUCUUGAAGCCCAAGAAAACCAUUAACCAUUCCUUAACAGGUGUAAUGUCUGUCACUCACAAAUACACACUUGAUGAUUUAUAGUUGUUGUGACUUGGACAACUCUGUUCUGUUGACAGCAGCAAUGAAACCUCCUUUCAUUCCAUUCAGUAAUUACAAAUUAUUUCAGUAGUAUUUUACAUUAAUUACUGGAGUCCUUUUUGAGACAAAAUACAUUUUAGGAUCAUUUUACCCACUUCCCAAUGUCAAGACCAAUCCAAAAGGUAUAGCCUAUUUAAGGAUUUUAAAUAAGGUAAUAUCACUGGUCAUCAUUGGUAAAUUUUUGUUAGCACAUGCUGAUUCAAUGGUAGGAUAAAAUAACAACCAAAAAUGCUAUUCUUAGAUAGUGUGGAUUGAGUAAUUGGGAAGAAAGGGAAAGAGGGCAGACUCAGUGACAGAGCAGACCUCUGUAUGAGGGUCUUCCACUGACUCCCCCUCAGACAAGGUGCCCCAGCUGGCUGGCAGGUGGCGGAGAGUUGGGAGAUUGGGGGGCGGGGGCGGGGGGAUGCCCCACAGCAAACACCCAUGAGAGGUGGCACCAAAAAAUCCUUCCAGGGUCUGUAUCUUGUUCUGCAUUGUUUUUUGUCAUUAAAGAAAGUGACACCAGCUCCACAGUUACCUUCCCAUUUCCUAUCUGUCAGCUCCCUUUGCAGUAGACAAUGCUCUCUGUAUUAGAAGAGGAAAAACUGAAUUAUUGAUAAUGUUGUAAAGCAAUAUUUAAUGACAUGGAAAGAUGUGCAUGAUCAGUGAUAUUUGGCACACAAAAAGCAGGUCAUAAACAGUAUAUGCACUGUGACUGUAUUUUGCUUUGAAAUGUUGGACUUAUACACACAUAUAUAUGGAUACAUAUAUAUUAUUAUAUAAACACAUGUUAUAUUAUAUAUUAUCAUUUGUACAUUAUAUAGACAUAUUUAAAAAAUUUUAACUCCCUGGUAUUUUUUUGUGAAAAUUUUCUUUACAUAAGAAUAAAAAGCAGAGUUUUAAAAAUGAAAAAAAAUGACUAGGAAUAUAGGGGUAGAGGAGUAAGAAAUACAAACUAUUAGAUAUAAAAUAAAUGACAGGGAUAUACUGUACAAUAUGGGAAAUAUAGCCAAUAUUUUAUAAUGAUUAUAAAUGGAGCAUAACCUUUAAAAAUUGUGAAUCACUACACUGUAACUCAUAGUACUGGAUAUUAGCUAUACUUCAAUAUAAAAAAUUUUAGUGAAAGUCUCAUCUUUAAAAAAUUAUUUUAUCUUCUUAAGUUCUAUUCCACUGGAAAAGCUGUCUCUCUGAGACACUCAUUUCAUAAUUAACUCUGCUUAAUUUUUUAAUGUGGGUCAGCAUUUCAUUUAUAAUAAUCUGCAGACACAGUCAUUUUCAAAAAUGAAUGUUCCCCCCUUUGGUAAAACCUACAUUCCCCCAUCAUGACUGUAGCUUCCCUAAGUCCUCUGUUUCAUCACCCUACUUGGCAAGAACCCCUGAGAUGAACACAAAAGUCCAUACCACCCUGGGAGAGAGGAUUUGACUUGCUUUUCUCUGCUGGCAUGUUAGUAGCCUGUUUUUUUUGGACAAGAGCAAUCGCUGUAAAGUGAAUUUACUGUCUUAUAAGCUCAUCAGAGCACAGGAGACAGGAAAUCUCCUACAGAAAUGCAAAAUGCAGAGCUAACUACCAACCGUGAAGCAGAGGAAGUGCAAUAAUGUAUUCAGGCUAUAAGCCUCCGCAGAGACACCCGUCUGCCUCCAUCAUUAUUUAUCAUCUGGCCUAUAGCUACUUUAUUACCACAAGAUAGAAAAAAAGAGCCAUGGAUUCAACUUGUACUGGCUUCAGAGACAACCUGAUGUACUUUAAUACAUGUUUUGGCCCACACUGUGAGUAGUGCUAUUCACUGCUACUGCAGUGUGGGACUAGGCAAUCUAAGAAAAGAAUGAGACUCACAUUUGCUUGCUUAAAAGGUUGAAAGGCCCUCAAUCAUCCAAGUCUAGAAAGACUAAGAUGCCCUCCCUUCCACGGGGACUGCCUGCCCUCAUCUUUUACAGCCACUUCCACAUCUCCAGGGUGCAGCCUCCCAUGCCUGACAGGAGAUGAUACCAGACUUCUUACAGAAUACAUUUUUUAAGUAAGAAGAAGAUCCAUCCAUUUGGUUUCCAGUGUGUACAAUGUCACAUUUUAACUGUUAAACAUCCUCUCCUAAUAAGACAAAGAACUAUAUUGGGGUUGACCAGCCUGAGACAGACUACUUCUUUAGUUCUGCCAUUAAACUUAGCAGGAAAUCACGGGAAAAAUGGCUUCAGUGUAAUCUGUUCCAAUGGUAGGGAAAAAUGGACUCAGUCAUAUAAAACUGUCUCUUUAGACCAGAGCCAAUCUUAAAGAUCUUUUUCACACUGUGUAACACCCUACAUUUCCUAAAGGGUGAUGGCAGUGUAAUCAGUGAAGAAAUCACUUCUGAUAAAACUAUAUAGUCAUGCAUUAAAUUUCUCCUAUUUUCUUCUAAAUGUACUUUUUUGGUGGAGCACAUUUUAAUAGUUUCAGCAGUGUGGUGGCUUAGAGAAGAUUCAUGACAAAAAGUUUAAAAAACAAAGAACACCUACUAUUCCCAAGGACUUUCAUACACAUUCUCUCACUCCCUUGUCACAAAUACUCUUCAAGCAUGGCACUGGUAUUCCUACACUUGAGGGAUGGAUCUAGGCUCUUAGGAUCACAUGCUAGUGAAUCAUAGGGCUUAGAGCGGUACUCAGCCUCCUAACAAGGUAAUAGAAGUUGACAAACUGUGAAGUCGAAUAGCCAAGUAGCACUUUCUUCCAACUAGACCUAAAAAGUUAGAGCCUGUUACAGACAAGGUAUGAAAAUAGCCUGCGUGCCUGAUGUACCUCAUAUCAUCUUUAUUUAUUACCAUUUUAGAGUAUGGGUAGAACUCAGACUCUAGAAUUUAGAGCCUUGGGUCAUAAUGAAGGAAGGAAGAAACAACAGCAGCUGUUGCCCAACUGUCAGUAUGCAACAAUAUGAAGAAUACCACCAUUUAUAAUGAGUCAGCACAUGAACUUCCUGGAGCUGCAGGGGGAAGUAGACAAGUGAAUCUUGCCUGACCUCCAAGAUUCUUCAGCAACCUAUUGGUGUUACUUACUGCUCAACCAGACCUAUGAUACCAUCCUUCCCUGGCGUCUUAAAGGUGGAGAAAUGGAGGCCCAGAGAUCAAGUGAUUUUCCAAGCCCCAGAGUCAGCUGGCAGCAAAGGUGGGCAAGAGCUCAUGUCUUCUAAUUCCCAACCCUGCGCUCUUUCCAACACGCUACAGCCUGAAUAUAUUACAGAUGAUAGUGACAGCAAUUAUAAUGGCAGCCAGGGUCAGUAGCAAAUGUUUAUAUGAAUGAUUUCAUUUAAUCUUCAGAAUUACUAGCGUACAAGGUAGAUGUAGAAACAGAGUCUCAGAAAGAUUAAGCAACUUCUCUAAGUCUCCACUGCAAGCAAGUAACAGAACGGGGAUAUAGCCCGGUCUCUCUGAAGCUGAAGUUUCAUGUUUAUACCAAAUUGCCUUUCUCUGCUCACCAGGUUUAGGGAAAAUUACAGUGAUUAAACAGUUGCUAUAUCUGCCUAUCGUUACAGUUUAUUCCAACUACUUUACAAAAGUAAAUCUUUGCAAAAACAGAUUUCAAGAAAAAGAAUACAAUUCAUCUGUCCUUUCUUGCCUCCUUACUGCUAAUCCUUGUGUUUCUU
rnacentral:lncRNA from 9 species